rnacentral:tRNA from 1 species
UGGGGCGUGGCCAAGUGGUAAGGCAGCGGCUUUUGGUGUCGCCAUUCGCAGGUUCGAAUCCUGCCGCCCCAGCCA